UACGAAGGGGGCUAGCGUUGUUCGGAAUUACUGGGCGUAAAGCGCACGUAGGCGGAUACUUAAGUUAGGGGUGAAAUCCCGGGGCUCAACCCCGGAACUGCCUUUGAUACUGGGUAUCUGGAGUCCGAGAGAGGUGAGUGGAAUUCCGAGUGUAGAGGUGAAAUUCGUAGAUAUUCGGAGGAACACCAGUGGCGAAGGCGGCUCACUGGCUCGGUACUGACGCUGAGGCGCGAAAGCGUGGGGGGCAAACAGG
rnacentral:rRNA from 1 species